rnacentral:rRNA from 1 species
UACGAAGGGGGCUAGCGUUGUUCGGAAUUACUGGGCGUAAAGGGUGCGUAGGCGGAUCUUUAAGUCAGGGGUGAAAUCCUGGAGCUCAACUCCAGAACUGCCUUUGAUACUGAGGAUCUCGAGUUCGGGAGAGGUGAGUGGAACUGCGGGUGUAGAGGUGAAAUUCGUAGAUAUUCGCAAGAACACCAGUGGCGAAGGCGGCUCACUGGCCCGAUACUGACGCUGAGGCACGAAGGCGUGGGGAGCAAACAGG